UACAGAGGGUGCAAGCGUUGUUCGGAAUUACUGGGCGUAAAGGGCGCGUAGGCGGCCUUCUAAGUCGAACGUGAAAUCCCCGGGCUCAACCCGGGAACUGCGUCCGAUACUGGAAGGCUUGAAUCCGGGAGAGGGAUGCGGAAUUCCAGGUGUAGCGGUGAAAUGCGUAGAUAUCUGGAGGAACACCGGUGGCGAAGGCGGCAUCCUGGACCGGCAUUGACGCUGAGGCGCGAAAGCCAGGGGAGCAAAGCGGG
rnacentral:rRNA from 1 species